CGGGUGAGUAACACGUGGGUGACCUGCCUUCGAGUGGGGGAUAACGUCCCGAAAGGGACGCUAAUACCGCAUAACAUCCCGCCUUUUAAGAGGUGGAAAUCAAAGCCGGGGAUCGCAAUACCUGGCGCUUGAAGAGGGGCCCGCGUCCGAUUAGCUAGUUGGUGGGGUAAUGGCUCACCAAGGCUACGAUCGGUAGCCGGCCUGAGAGGGCGGACGGCCACACUGGGACUGAGACACGGCCCAG
rnacentral:rRNA from 1 species